rnacentral:lncRNA from 1 species
CAGGGAGCCAUGCUUCCCCAGCCCCGGAGAGCCUCUGGCUGUGUCUGAGCGAAGGACUCGUCCAAGUGACCAUCCGGUCCACGUGGUCCCCGAAGGUCCAGGAGGAAGCUGGUCCGCCGGCGACUAUGUCAAUCACGGCUCCACGUGCCUGCCACCACGCGCCGCGCUUAGAGACCCAUAUGGACCUUCCCGUCAGGCUGGGACAGACUUAAAUUAUGACACUUUUCAUCUUGAUUGACAAUAACCUUCCCCUGGAAGUUGGGGAACAGCCCAGCUACAAUUACGUCUUGUACAAUAAAAUGAAGGAAAUAAUUUUAUGAUUCA